rnacentral:rRNA from 1 species
UUAAGCGACUAAGCGUACACGGUGGAUGCCCUGGCAGUCAGAGGCGAUGAAGGGCGUGCUAAUCUGCGAUAAGCGCCGGUAAGGUGAUAUGAACCGUUAUAACCGGCGAUACCCGAAUGGGGAAACCCAGUGUGACUCGUCACACUAUCAUUAACUGAAUCCAUAGGUUAAUGAGGCGAACCGGGGGAACUGAAACAUCUAAGUACCCCGAGGAAAAGAAAUCAACCGAGAUUCCCCCAGUAGCGGCGAGCGAACGGGGAGGAGCCCAGAGCCUGAAUCAGCAUGUGUGUUAGUGGAAGCGUCUGGAAAGGCGCGCGAUACAGGGUGACAGCCCCGUACACAAAAGCGCAUGUGCUGUGAGCUCGAUGAGUAGGGCGGGACACGUGGUAUCCUGUCUGAAUAUGGGGGGACCAUCCUCCAAGGCUAAAUACUCCUGACUGACCGAUAGUGAACCAGUACCGUGAGGGAAAGGCGAAAAGAACCCCGGCGAGGGGAGUGAAAAAGAACCUGAAACCGUGUACGUACAAGCAGUGGGAGCACCCUUUGGGGUGUGACUGCGUACCUUUUGUAUAAUGGGUCAGCGACUUAUAUUCUGUAGCAAGGUUAACCGAAUAGGGGAGCCGGAGGGAAACCGAGUCUUAAUUGGGCGUUAAGUUGCAGGGUAUAGACCCGAAACCCGGUGAUCUAGCCAUGGGCAGGUUGAAGGUUGGGUAACACUAACUGGAGGACCGAACCGACUAAUGUUGAAAAAUUAGCGGAUGACCUGUGGCUGGGGGUGAAAGGCCAAUCAAACCGGGAGAUAGCUGGUUCUCCCCGAAAGCUAUUUAGGUAGCGCCUCGUGAAUUCAUCUCCGGGGGUAGAGCACUGUUUCGGCUAGGGGGCCAUCCCGGCUUACCAACCCGAUGCAAACUGCGAAUACCGGAGAAUGUUAUCACGGGAGACACACGGCGGGUGCUAACGUCCGUCGUGAAGAGGGAAACAACCCAGACCGCCAGCUAAGGUCCCAAAGUCAUGGUUAAGUGGGAAACGAUGUGGGAAGGCCCAGACAGCCAGGAUGUUGGCUUAGAAGCAGCCAUCAUUUAAAGAAAGCGUAAUAGCUCACUGGUCGAGUCGGCCUGCGCGGAAGAUGUAACGGGGCUAAACCAUGCACCGAAGCUGCGGCAGCGACGUUUAUGCGUUGUUGGGUAGGGGAGCGUUCUGUAAGCCUGCGAAGGUGGCCUGUGAGGGUUGCUGGAGGUAUCAGAAGUGCGAAUGCUGACAUAAGUAACGAUAAAGCGGGUGAAAAGCCCGCUCGCCGGAAGACCAAGGGUUCCUGUCCAACGUUAAUCGGGGCAGGGUGAGUCGACCCCUAAGGCGAGGCCGAAAGGCGUAGUCGAUGGGAAACGGGUUAAUAUUCCCGUACUUGGUGUUACUGCGAAGGGGGGACGGAGAAGGCUAUGUUGGCCGGGCGACGGUUGUCCCGGUUUAAGCGUGUAGGUGUGUGUUCCAGGUAAAUCCGGUUCACUUUAACACUGAGGCGUGAUGACGAGGCACUACGGUGCUGAAGCAACAAAUGCCCUGCUUCCAGGAAAAGCCUCUAAGCAUCAGGUAACACGAAAUCGUACCCCAAACCGACACAGGUGGUCAGGUAGAGAAUACCAAGGCGCUUGAGAGAACUCGGGUGAAGGAACUAGGCAAAAUGGUGCCGUAACUUCGGGAGAAGGCACGCUGACACGUAGGUGAAGUGAUUUACUCAUGGAGCUGAAGUCAGUCGAAGAUACCAGCUGGCUGCAACUGUUUAUUAAAAACACAGCACUGUGCAAACACGAAAGUGGACGUAUACGGUGUGACGCCUGCCCGGUGCCGGAAGGUUAAUUGAUGGGGUCAGCGCAAGCGAAGCUCCUGAUCGAAGCCCCGGUAAACGGCGGCCGUAACUAUAACGGUCCUAAGGUAGCGAAAUUCCUUGUCGGGUAAGUUCCGACCUGCACGAAUGGCGUAAUGAUGGCCAGGCUGUCUCCACCCGAGACUCAGUGAAAUUGAACUCGCUGUGAAGAUGCAGUGUACCCGCGGCAAGACGGAAAGACCCCGUGAACCUUUACUAUAGCUUGACACUGAACAUUGAGCCUUGAUGUGUAGGAUAGGUGGGAGGCUUUGAAGUGUGGACGCCAGUCUGCAUGGAGCCAGCCUUGAAAUACCACCCUUUAAUGUUUGAUGUUCUAACGUGGACCCGUAAUCCGGGUUGCGGACAGUGUCUGGUGGGUAGUUUGACUGGGGCGGUCUCCUCCUAAAGAGUAACGGAGGAGCACGAAGGUUGGCUAAUCCUGGUCGGACAUCAGGAGGUUAGUGCAAUGGCAUAAGCCAGCUUGACUGCGAGCGUGACGGCGCGAGCAGGUGCGAAAGCAGGUCAUAGUGAUCCGGUGGUUCUGAAUGGAAGGGCCAUCGCUCAACGGAUAAAAGGUACUCCGGGGAUAACAGGCUGAUACCGCCCAAGAGUUCAUAUCGACGGCGGUGUUUGGCACCUCGAUGUCGGCUCAUCACAUCCUGGGGCUGAAGUAGGUCCCAAGGGUAUGGCUGUUCGCCAUUUAAAGUGGUACGCGAGCUGGGUUUAGAACGUCGUGAGACAGUUCGGUCCCUAUCUGCCGUGGGCGCUGGAGAACUGAGGGGGGCUGCUCCUAGUACGAGAGGACCGGAGUGGACGCAUCACUGGUGUUCGGGUUGUCAUGCCAAUGGCACUGCCCGGUAGCUAAAUGCGGAAGAGAUAAGUGCUGAAAGCAUCUAAGCACGAAACUUGCCCCGAGAUGAGUUCUCCCUGAGACUUAGAGUCUCCUGAAGGAACGUUGAAGACGACGACGUUGAUAGGCCGGGUGUGUAAGCGCAGCGAUGCGUUGAGCUAACCGGUACUAAUGAACCGUGAGGCUUAACCUU